rnacentral:lncRNA from 1 species
ACUCAGAGGAAUUAAAUAAUAUGGCCAAACUCAUUCCUUUUGAGGGGCCAAGUUAGAAUGUCGCUCAUUCUUGGUCAAACACUGAAGGCCAGAUUUUUCUAUUAUAAAGUACUGGUUAGCAUUCAAGACCUUCAGACUCCUGUCUUAUUCUGCUUUCUGGAGGAGUCAAAGUAUUAUAAUAUGCUGUUCUUGUCACUUGUGACCAGGCUGAAAAUUAGGGCAAAGCACAUCAACUUUAUGCCUCAGCAAUUAUUCUAUAAAGCAACAUGAAAUAUACAUACCCACAAAUAAAACUGAAAUUGAACCAUAACUUUACAAAAGAUGUUUUAUCAAAAGGCCAUUUAUUAAUCCACACUCACCGAUUAGGUGGCCCUGUCAUUUAUCUGUGUGAACAUCAAGCAGAUCUACCACUAUUACAUUAAUUAAUUAAUUCGGCCCUUUAUCCCCCAGGGUGGGCCCGGGAGACACCUGGCUUAUUUUCACAGCAGUCCCUGAUGCGCAGCUGUCAAGCCGCAUCCUGACUGGCACUCUGAGCUUCAUGCAAGGCCAAGCACUUAAUCUCUUUAACGGAGACCUGUCAUCACUUGCUUUCACUUCAUUGCAGGCCCAGUCUACGUUGAGACAUAAUGUCUCAAGCACCUGUCCCUUUCCUCCCGUCCUAACAGCCACCAUCUGGGUUCAGACACUUCUCAACUCCUCUGUGCAUCACAGUUCCCACAACUCGACUGUCUUAUCUGUGCCAGGCACCACGUACAUGAUUCUGAUUCUCUUCCUCCCAUUCACAAAAUGACCAUGCAAAUUAACAUGAUCGUCUUCAUAUUCCCCCAAAGAAAAUGGACUCUUAGAAAAGCAGAGUGACUUGAGCAAGAUUGCUCAACUGGGAAGUCGUAGAGCCACGACUUGAACCCAGCUUUACGUGGACUUCAGUAAUUAUGCUCCUUUCACCCCUCUGCAUUACAUCUAGCUCUGCAGCUAAGCCCUGGGAGUAGAAGACAGGAGCUAGCUGGGCUACACGUUGCAUAGAGAAGUAAGAUGGACAGGUGAGCUUCGCCAGAAAAACAUGUCAGCCUGAGGGCCUGACUAGGGGAGAUAAGAAAUGUCAAGAGAAACUCUGGAGUAGUCUUUUGUGGAUAUGCCAUGUAAAUUCUCUCCACUCUCUUCUUUGUGAACUCCUCUGUGAAUUCCGCUUUGCUCCUGACAUUUAUGUACAGUGCAUAUAUUUGUUGUUGGUAGUGGUGGUAGAGCCAGUGCUCUGUGCUAAGAGGAGCAGGAAGAGAUGAUGGACAUUUAGACUGUACCUUGUUUUAUAAUAGAGAUGGAUUUUUAAAAAUAACAGAUGAAAUGGGGAAUUAGGGUAGGGUGUUUUCCAACACCUGAAUGGAAGAUGUUGAAAUGCUGAGGGCCCCCAAAGGUGUAUGCAUUUGAGGCUUGGUCUCCAGCUUGGCAGUAUUGGGAGGUUAUAGAAACUGCAAGAUGUGCAGCCCAGUGGAAAGUCUUUGGAUCAUUGGGGGCAUAUCUUUGAAGGAGCUGUGGGAUGCUUGUCCCUUCGGAUUUCUCUCUUUUGCUUUCUAGCCAUGAGGUGAGUACUUUAUUCCCUCCAAGUGCUCCCAUCAUGAUGUGAUGUCUCACCACAGGUCCCAAAUAAAUGGGGCCAAUUGAUCACAACUGGAACUUCUAAAACUGUAACCCCAAAUAAACCUUUUAUCUUUAUAAGUUAAUAAUUUUAAGUAUUUGUUAUAGUAAUGGAAAACUGACUAACAGAGGUGAGAAAAUAGCUAAUACAAAAGCACAGAAGUGUAAUGAUUUCCCAGGCCCUUGUCUUCUAGGAUAUAAUCGUUUUCAGAAGUAUCCUUUCUCCACAGAAGAUGCUGAAUUUAUCUUCUCAUAUUCAGAAGGCUACAAGUCUUUAAUACAUGGUUCAUGACCAGCCUUCAAUCUUAAGCCUUCGUUUUCAAAGUUCUGCCUUUCACAUUU